AAGUCGUAACAAGGUUUCCGUAGAACCUGCGGAAGGAUCAUUAACACGUAUCCACGUUAAACCCCCUGUGAGCCUUCACCCCGCUGCUCCCACAGAUAAGCAACCGAGCUUCGGCUCCCCUAUAACCCCAAUUCCUAUUGCCGCUCCGCACUAACAACGCCGGGCACUUAAAAACGUAACUUAACAACUGUUAACAAUGGAUAUCUUGGUUCUC
rnacentral:misc_RNA from 1 species